UGAGUAUUCUCUUGAGAACAAAGUAGAAUCAAUAUUUUUCAGGGGAACACAAGUACAGAAAAAAUAUGUUGCAUUGCCAAGUUCUCCCCCUCCCAGGUUAAGACACCUGUUACCUUUGACUGGGCUCUACCUUCCUUCUUUGGUCCAGCAACAGGGCUGCCAUCUGGGAACUGACACUCGGGCUCCAAGUCCUCCCCAGGAACAGCCCCAGCAAGUCAUUUUACCCUCAGCUUCUCACUCUACAUGGUGUUGCGGGAUAGGUCGGCAGCUGCAGCAGAACUUGAUUAGUGCCUUGCCUCUGAGCAGAUGCAUUUCCCUGACAGCAUCGAUCCUGGGUGCUUUCGCUUUGCAGGCAGCUCCACAGAGGAGGAGCUUGGACUGCAAAGGAGGUGGACUAUUGUCUGUUCAAGGAUGA
rnacentral:lncRNA from 1 species